rnacentral:rRNA from 1 species
AUUCCAGCUCCAAUAGCGUAUAUUAAAGUUGUUGCAGUUAAAAAGCUCGUAGUCGGAUUUUGGCAUCACGCCGAACUGUCUGCCGAUUGGUAAGUACGGUUUGGCGGGUGCUUCCUUCCGGAGGCUCGUUCCCUUCUUCAUUGAAGGGUUCGUUGGUUCCGGGUCUUUUACUUUGAGAAAAUUAGAGUGUUCAAAGCAGGCCUAUGCUCUGAAUAGGUUAGCAUGGAAUAAUAGAAUAGGACUUUGGUUCUAUUUUGUUGGUUUCUAGGACCGAAGUAAUGAUUAAUAGGGACAGUUGGGGGCAUUCAUAUUCCAUUGUCAGAGGUGGAAUUCUCAGACCAGCGGAAGACGAACCACUGCGAAAGCAUUUGCCAGGGAUGUUUUCAUCA